rnacentral:rRNA from 1 species
AUUGAACGCUGGCGGCGUGCUUAACACAUGCAAGUCGAUCGGUAACAGGUGUAGCAAUACAUGCUGACGAGAGGCGGACGGGUGAGUAAUGCUUGGGAAUCUGCCUAUUAGUGGGGGACAACCCGGGGAAACUCGGGCUAAUACCGCAUACGCUCUACGGAGGAAAGCCGGGGACCGCAAGGCCUGGCGCUAAUAGAUGAGCCCAAGUCGGAUUAGCUAGUUGGUAGGGUAACGGCCUACCAAGGCGACAAUCCGUAGCUGGUCUGAGAGGACGACCAGCCACACCGGAACUGAGACACGGUCCGGACUCCUACGGGAGGGCAGCAGUGGGGAAUAUUGGACAAUGGGGGCAACCCUGAUCCAGCGACGCCGCGUGGGUGAAGAAGGCCUGCGGGUUGUAAAGCCCUUUCGGGUGGGGAAGAAAAGUCUCGACCUAAUACGUCGGGACCUUGACGUAACCCACUAAAGAAGCACCGGCUAACUCUGUGCCA